UACAGAGGGUGCAAGCGUUAAUCGGAAUUACUGGGCGUAAAGCGUGCGUAGACGGUAGCGUAAGUCGGGUGUGAAAGCCCCGGGCUCAACCUGGGAAUUGCAUUCGAGACUGCUCUGCUAGGGUGCGGAAGAGGGGAGCGGAAUUUCCGGUGUAGCGGUGAAAUGCGUAGAUAUCGGAAGGAACACCAGUGGCGAAGGCGGGUCUCUGGGCAACAACUGACGCUGAGGAGCGAAAGCGUGGGGAGCGAACAGG
rnacentral:rRNA from 1 species